UACGUAGGUGACAAGCGUUGUCCGGAUUUACUGGGCGUAAAGAGCGCGCAGGCGGUCGUUCAAGUCGAGUGUGAAAGCCCCCGGCUUAACUGGGGAGGGUCAUUCGAUACUGAUCGACUCGAAGGCAGGAGAGGGUAGUGGAAUUCCCGGUGUAGUGGUGAAAUGCGUAGAUAUCGGGAGGAACACCAGUGGCGAAGGCGGGUCUCUGGGCCGAUACUGACGCUGAGGAGCGAAAGCGUGGGGAGCGAACAGG
rnacentral:rRNA from 1 species